UGAGAUUUGAAAGCAUCAGAGACCUGAUAGGAAAAUUGUAAUUGUGAGAAAUUUUACGAGUUUCUUGUAAAUAAUAAAUCAAAGCAAUAAAAGAAAAUGGUACUCAGCUGCUGCUUAGAAAGUAUAAAUUUUCUUUUUUGGUAAGUAGGAAAUUAAAAAGUAUAACUUUUAGACAAGUAUCUAUAUAUGUCAAAGGGAAAGAUGAAAUAUGUACUAUAAAACACUAGAGAGCAAAAAGUUAUACUGAAAAUCUCAUGAGGUAACUAAAGGUAUAUGCCAAAUGAAAAUGGAGAUUUAUAAAAAAUGAACUUAGGGUUCCCAAACCUUAGAAAAUCUAGAGUUAUAUAUAUCGAACAAUGUCCGCCAUUUACAAAAUUGAAUGGUUGGACCAUUGAAACAAUUGUAUAGAAAAAAUGAGAAAGGCCCUAUUAGAGUGUGAGUAGAAACAUUAAAGUGGCAAUUGUAAGAGUCUGUUUGAUAUUAUUAUUUAAACUACAAUUAAGA
rnacentral:misc_RNA from 1 species